rnacentral:misc_RNA from 1 species
GAUGAAGAACGUAGCGAAAUGCGACAAGUAAUGUGAAUUGCAGAAUUCCGUGAAUCAUCGAAUCUUUGAACGCACAUUGCGCCCCCUGGUAUUCCGGGGGGCAUGCCUGUCCGAGCGUCAUUGCUGCCCUCAAGCACGGCUUGUGUGUUGGGCUCCGUCCCCCCGGGGACGGGUCCGAAAGGCAGCGGCGGCACCGAGUCCGGUCCUCGAGCGUAUGGGGCUUUGUCACCCGCUCUGUAGGCCCGGCCGGCGCCAGCCGACAACCAAUCAUCCUUUUUUCAGGUUGACCUCGGAUCAGGUAGGGAUACCCGCUGAACUUAAGCAUAUCAAUAAGCGGAGGA